CAUAGGUUAAUGAGGCGAACCGGGGGAACUGAAACAUCUAAGUACCCCGAGGAAAAGAAAUCAACCGAGAUUCCCCCAGUAGCGGCGAGCGAACGGGGAGGAGCCCAGAGCCUGAAUCAGUGUGUGUGUUAGUGGAAGCGUCUGGAAAGGCGCGCGAUACAGGGUGACAGCCCCGUACACAAAAAUGCACAUGCUGUGAGCUCGAUGAGUAGGGCGGGACACGUGGUAUCCUGUCUGAAUAUGGGGGGACCAUCCUCCAAGGCUAAAUACUCCUGACUGACCGAUAGUGAACCAGUACCGUGAGGGAAAGGCGAAAAGAACCCCGGCGAGGGGAGUGAAAAAGAACCUGAAACCGUGUACGUACAAGCAGUGGGAGCACGCUUAGGCGUGUGACUGCGUACCUUUUGUAUAAUGGGUCAGCGACUUAUAUUCUGUAGC
rnacentral:rRNA from 1 species